AUAGUCCGACUAACAGAACCAGAAACCACGAGAACUUUCGCUGAAAAAAAAAAGGAAACCACAAGAACUCCACUCGCCCGAUAUACUCGUGAUCCCAACCACCGAUAUGCCUGUGACCCCAACCCUGGCCACCUCGCCCUCUCCGGCUCUUCCUCACCCCUCUCUCUCUCCUGAUUCCCAUCCUCCUCUCCGAUCUGACGGAAGGGCCGCACCAAUUCAAGCCGCCCCCAUCAGCCCCUCGUCAUCAACCCGUUCUCCAUCGGUUGCGAGCUCGUCGAUCGGCAUGCUCCGUCUCCUCUCUUCUCCGGCCUGGUGGCCUACAUCUCCCUGCAGCAGCUGACCCGGCGCCAUGGCGGGUUGAGGCAGACGGGAAGGCAAGUCGACUGCGGCGACCGGUGAAUACUGCGUACAUACUUCGGUUUUGUUCGGUCAAAAUCGAGAACCGAACCGAACAUUCGGGGAACCGAUUUUUCGCGGGGCCGCCGGAUCUGGCCUCCGGCAGCAGCACGGUGACGCACGGAUGGGGCAGCGGCUACAACGCGGGACGGGCAUGAGGAAAGAAGAAAUGGGGAAGAAAGCGUCUCUCUGGAAAUGUAUGUCCGCCCGUGGCGGAGCGGAGCUGCGCCAAAGACGCUUCUCGCAAACAUUUUCAGAUUUUUCUUUUACUCCAAAAUUUACAAACAGGAGAGCUUCUCUUGGCCAGCAGCUGCUACUUCUAAAGAAAGAAUUGUUGUCCUCCAAGGAGAGCUUGCUUUUUCUUCACAAAAUAAUAUCAGAUGUAACUAUCAUUCUGAGUUAUUUUGGAAUUAUUAAAGAAAACAUGUGUCAAAGUUCUUAUGCGGACUGUCCGGACCCCGGAUAAGCCCUGUAUUGAUUUGGUUCAAAUGGUGAUAACUUUAAAAUCAAAUACGUCAGCUGAAUACCAAAGACAAAAUAAUAAAAAUAAAAUAGACGAAAAGAGGUGGGACAAACAGGAUUAUAGGAUAUAGAAAUCUACCACACACCAAUAGAUAUCUUUGAAACGGAGAUCUGCAAGCAAGCAUAUUUCAGAGCGAACCUAAACAAAAAUCACCGAACCUCUCAGAUAAACGCAAAACCACGUCAGCAUGGCAGUUCGCAAUUUUACCAACAGCAACAUCACAAUUCA